rnacentral:rRNA from 1 species
AUUUAGGAAUCUGCCUAGUAGUGGGGGAUAGCUCGGGGAAACUCGAAUUAAUACCGCAUACGACCUACGGGUGAAAGGGGGCGCAAGCUCUUGCUAUUAGAUGAGCCUAAAUCAGAUUAGCUAGUUGGUGGGGUAAAGGCCCACCAAGGCGACGAUCUGUAACUGGUCUGAGAGGAUGAUCAGUCACACCGGAACUGAGACACGGUCCGGACUCCUACGGGAGGCAGCAGUGGGGAAUAUUGGACAAUGGGGGCAACCCUGAUCCAGCCAUGCCGCGUGUGUGAAGAAGGCCUUUUGGUUGUAAAGCACUUUAAGCAGGGAGGAGAGGCUAAUGGUUAAUACCCAUUAGAUUAGACGUUACCUGCAGAAUAAGCACCGGCUAACUCUGUGCCAGCAGCCGCGGUAAUACAGAGGGUGCGAGCGUUAAUCGGAAUUACUGGGCGUAAAGCGAGUGUAGGUGGCUCAUUAAGUCACAUGUGAAAUCCCCGGGCUUAACCUGGGAACUGCAUGUGAUACUGGUGGUGCUAGAAUAUGUGAGAGGGAAGUAGAAUUCCAGGUGUAGCGGUGAAAUGCGUAGAGAUCUGGAGGAAUACCGAUGGCGAAGGC